rnacentral:rRNA from 1 species
GGAGGGGGCAAGCGUUAUUCGGAAUCAUUGGGCGUAAAGGGCGCGUAGGCGGCUUGGCAAGUCAAAGGUGGAAUCCCUCGGCCCAACCGAGGAACUGCCUUUGAUACUGCUUGGCUCGAGGCCGGGAGAGGGUAGCGGAAUUCCCAGUGUAGCGGUGAAAUGCGUAGAUAUUGGGAGGAACACCAGUGGCGAAGGCGGCUACCUGGACCGGUUCUGACGCUGAUGCGCGAAAGCGUGGGGAGCAAACAGGAUUAGAUACCCUGGUAGUCCACGCCGUAAACGAUGGGUACUCGGUGUCGCGGGUAUCGACCCCUGCGGUGCCUUAGCUAACGCGUUAAGUACCCCGCCUGGGGAGUACGGUCGCAAGGCUG